GUGGGGAAUAUUGGGCAAUGGGCGCAAGCCUGACCCAGCAACGCCGCGUGAAGGAUGAAGGCUUUCGGGUUGUAAACUUCUUUUAUUCGGGACGAAACAAAUGACGGUACCGAAUGAAUAAGCCACGGCUAACUACGUGCCAGCAGCCGCGGUAAUACGUAGGUGGCAAGCGUUAUCCGGAUUUACUGGGUGUAAAGGGCGUGUAGGCGGGACUGCAAGUCAGAUGUGAAAACUAUGGGCUCAACCCAUAGCCUGCAUUUGAAACUGUAGUUCUUGAGUGCUGGAGAGGCAAUCGGAAUUCCGUGUGUAGCGGUGAAAUGCAUAGAUAUACGGAGGAACACCAGUGGCGAAGGCGGAUUGCUGGACAGUAACUGACGCUGAGGCGCGAAAGCGUGGGGAGCAAACAGGAUUAGAAACCCUAGUAGUCCC
rnacentral:rRNA from 1 species